rnacentral:lncRNA from 1 species
CUACAUUAAUGGCGUUCGUUUGAUCACCCUUUGCUACCAAUUGUUGUACUUGCUGCAUUGUGAGUGAUUUACCCAGUGAGCAUUUCUCGUCAGAGAUUUGAUUGCCUAAGUCCAGUUGUAGGGAAGAUGAUUUCUUGGAUUUGAUCAAGUGAUAGUACUUCUCUGUAGCUCCCCACCAUUUAGAAACAGAAGGUUGAGCCUCAGAUUUUGAAGACGAUAACGAGGCAAUGAAAUCAGAUAUUAUGGCUUUCUGAGAUGGCUUGAAAUUUCCAUACCAGAUGAGAUUGACGGUGAUCUUGCCAGUAAGAAGUGGGCCCUUGUGGUAUUUGAAAAGCAUAGGAUCUUGAUUUUCCAAUAUUCUUGCUGCUGAAGCACAACUGAGUAACAAAAAUGCAGAUAUCAAGACCAUAUUGAUGGAGAAACUGGCUGCCAUUUUGAAUUGGGAUUUGAUAUGAAAAGGAAAGUGGAAAAUAUGUGGAAUUUCUUUGUUUUCGAGAGGAUUUGAUGGUGGAAAUAGAGAGCUGAGGCAAUUCUUUAUAUAGGGAGUAUGGACUCAGAUCAGAACAGAGGAAGGCUCAACGAAGGAGACAAGAAUUUAGAAUGUGCCAGCCUUGAUAUUAUUGGAUUGGAUACGCGUUUUCACUUUAAUGAAUUCAUGAGUUUUUUAAAUAAAGUUGGGAGUUGACCCCACGACAUAAAAACAUUAUGUGCCAGCCAGCAUGGAUUUGAGGAAGGGACUACCUCUAAAUAUUUAUGAUCUGCUUGAUUUCCAUAAAGUCAACCUAAUGUUCAAAUUACCACAAGUUGCAAGAGCUUAAAGAUCAAAGUCUAGUUCAAGUGAUGAGAAUGAAGUUUUUACCAUAUUAGUAAAUAGUAAUUUGAGUUCGAUUCUCAGUUCGAUUACCAUAUUAAUAAAUAUAAAAUCUUGAAAAACUACACUUCAUUUGAUCUAAUCAUACUUUUCUGUGAUCAUAAACCAACUAAAGUAUCUUUUUAUAAAUUACAUGAUGUUGGUAUAGUUGUUUGUUAAUCUUUUUUUUCUCAUUUGCAAUUUUGAAAUAAUAAUAAAUUCCACUAAAAUUACAAGAAUUAAUAAAUACGAUAUAAAUUCAACUUUCAAUUUGUUCGUUUGAGAUUGGGUGCAAGUUCGGGAAAAAAAAAUAAUUGUUGGAGUAUAAGUCGUAGGUUCAAUGCAACGUGUAAAUAAAAUUAUAAAUCCUACAAAAUACAUUGAUAAAAAUAUUAUGUAAUGAACUUAUAAAUUUGAAUAAACUUCACAGAACCUGCUCUAAAAUUGUCCAAAGGACUCAUUUUAUGACAAAUAUUCAAAAUAUUUUGAAAUCAAGUUGCAUGCAUGCUUGCACGUACACCGAACACUAGAAAUUAGAGCAACUUUAAUAUAUAUAUAUAUAUAUAUUCAAGCUGUCGCCUACGCUGUAUAGUCAAAGCAACAAACUAUAAUUAAUUAAAACAUUAGCUGAUGGUUGGCCGAAAGGAAUGUAAUUUUGUCUCCUUCCAUACCGUCCUCAAAUGCUGUUGGCCAAACAUAAUUUCAUUUUGUUUUAAUUAAAAAACGCGUUAUCAAGCUGUAUUUUAAGUGAACUCUCUCUCUCUCUCUCUCUCUCUCUAAAUAAAUAUACACUUCAAGGUUGUAUUUGAGAUUUUUUUCCCUGUCAACUUUGAAUUGGGGAUAAGGAGAUUAGGUUGUGGUUUUAGGCAAAAACUGUCAAAUUGAAAUAUCAAAUUUAACGAAAACCAAUUGCAAAGUUAGGAGGGGGACAGCGGGAAGUCGACACUCAAUAAUGUCAAAGUUUAUAUCACAUGUAACUUUCACAUAACUAAAUACUUAUUUACGAGUGUUUACAUUUUUAAUUAAGUAACAUCUCCUAUAGAAUGUGUGGAUAAAAAUCAAGUAAUAAGUUGUGGAUUCAUAGAAUAUGUAUAUAAUGUAGAUUUGAUCCGUUCAAGAUAUAAUUUAAACUGUGCCAAAAAUGUACUUAAGUUGAAGGAUAAAACUGUCAAAUAACUUAAUAUUCUUCUAAUUUUAACAUUCUCCUCACUAAUUUUUCCUCAUUUGGUAACACUGUAUAAAUAUUAAAUAGGUUGAUGAUUAACUUUAUAAGUUAGAGAACGAUUUCCGCACUGUUUAUGUACUACAAGCAUGAUUGUAAUCAUAUGCUGACGCAAAAGAUAUUGACAUCUUUGGUAAAUAUUAAAUUAAAUAAAUUAGACAUAAUAACAGAAAGAGUACAAAACAUAUGAAAUGUUUGUUCGGUAUCCCAUCUAAAUAAAGGUUUUAACACAUCCUUUUUGACUAAUGGAAAAGUUGGUGUAUAUAGCACCAAUAUAAGUAGCCAUUUUGUAUGAGUAAUUAGUAUUUGAGCUUGGAAGUGACAUUGUUUAUGUAUCAAAAUGUCUUUCUAGUGAUGUUUAGUGUUAAUUGGCACUCGAAUUAUUCUUAUAUUUGCACUUCUCAUAAAUUUGGAAAAUUAUAAUAAAUUGUUUCAAACUUUUGACCUUCUUGCAUUUUUGUUUCAAACAUUUAAAUUUAGACUAACAUCGAUAACUUACGCAUUUUUUGCACAGUUGAUCCUUUUGGAUAAAUUCAGUACAAAAUUAUUGUUAAAUUUGCGAGUGAGCUACACUUUCUUUAAGGGAUAAAUAGUAUACGCAAUCCCAAAGUUUGAUAAAAUUAGCGAUCUUGUCCCCAACCUUCAAGAGAUUAAAAGUAAAUACAUCUUAUUAAUAUGUUUCUAAAAAUACAAAUUUAUCUUUUGUUUUUAAAUAAAAUGAAAUAAAAUAAAAUAAUAUCCUUCCCAAUAAGUUUAUCAAAAGCAACCAUUGUUGCCACCACCACAAUCAAGCACAAAAUGACCGAAAUGAAUUGGAGCUUUUCUCAAUCUCCAAAAAUGAUAAAAAUGAGUUGGGGUGGUGGGGCUGCAACCAGGAGGAAAUGGGUGAAGACGGUGCUUAGUGUUUUAUUUUUUAAAUAUUUGUGUUUGUUGGAGGUGCACCAUUAGCCUGAUUUACUUUUAAGGUUAGUGAUCAGUUUCCUUUAUUAAAACAGCAUGUUCAAGUCACACGACUGAUCCAAUAGUAAGCUGACAAAAACUGUUAGGAGAGACUGACUUUUCCAUUUACCAAAGAUUAGGAACAGACAUAAGACAAGACAUUUGUAAGGGCAUGAACGCUACUUUUGUCAAAAUUGGGACUACAUAUGCAAUUUAUCCUAAUUUCAGUUAGUGGCGACCCUGAGUAUAGGCGAGAUAUACGAUCUCCUAAGGCCCCGUUCUGGUGAUGACCCUAAAUUAUGUAAAGUUAAUUAAUUGAUUGAAGAAAAAUGAGAAUCAUAUUUAUGAAAUUCUGCAAAAUAGAGUUAUCGUAUGCAAACAUAAGAAACUAAUAUAUAUAUAUAUAUAUACACACUUUAUUUUCCAAACAUUCAUUUUCUUUUCUUAACCAAACAAAAAGUCUAUUUAUCUCUUCAAAUUCCACGUCCAACAUUCACCUUCCAUUAUUUUUUCACCCAACAAAAUUUAAAUUAUUUCUCUUUGAAUUAAAAUUUUAAAGAUUUAUUGCAGAUUAGUUUGAUCUCAUUGCCAUUUUUAAAACCUUACACGUUUUUUUCUUUUUUUCUUAUCUUCAAAACACAUACUACAGAGUACAUAAGUUGUUAUUAUAUUGUUUUUUAACUUCAUGAUAAUAAUAUUUUUAGAUGUUCGCUGAAAAUGCUUUGAAUUUAAUAAUCCUUUAUCCGUAUUCAUACAGACACUUCUUAUUUUUAAAUUAAUUUCUUAUAAAUUAAUAUAAAAUUAGAAGUUCAUUUGUAUUUGAUCAUUAUUUUCAUUUUUUUUGUUACACUAUUUUUGUAGUCAAUAUUCUCCAAUUCUGUACAUAAAUCACUCAAAUGUAUAUUCAUUUUCGUGCGAAAAAGUUGCAGUGAGAAAAUGUCAUUGGAUUGUAAUUCUGAUUGUCAAACUUUAUUUUUAAAUUUUACUGCAAGUUGAAAUUUGAUAUUUUUUUAAUUUCCUCUUCAAAUUUUGGGGCUUAGUUGUCCGUAUUAGAUUCUUAAUAAUUAUAUUAAGCCACUGUUUGAAAUCGAUUAAAAUCUAAAUUUUAAUUUAACUAUAUAUUUUAUGGAUCUCACAACUUUAAAUUCACAUAUUUCAUCUACUUUUAUCCAAAUCUACUAAUAAUUUGAUUUUAAUCUCUAUCAAACAAAAGCUAAAACUCUAUAUAAGAAGACCCAAAAUAUCAUGGCCCCAUAUUUAAAAUUGGUAUAAGGUUCCCAAAAUAUCAGGGUCGGCCCCGAUUUCAGUCCUUGCAUAAAACUAACAGUCAUUUCGGAUGAAAACCAUAAAAAAGGUCCAUCUGUGCCAAAAAUGAAUAGUUUGGGACAUCAUUGUCACGAUUUAAAAGUUCAGGAGCAAAAAUGCAAGAUGGGUAAAGAUUUGGGCCCAUUUAUAUCAAUUUCCCUAUAAUAUUUUCUAUUUCAUAAUUUUUCUCUUAUGAAAAAGACGAAGUUAGAUUCGUAUUAUAAUAAUCUUUAACCAACAAAGGUCUAGGUGAUUAAAGUUUAGGUAUGAAGUUUAAAAAAAAUAAAAAAAAAUAAAAAUGUCAUUUAACUUGUAGAAAAAUUCAUCACUUGUCUUUAUUUUGUUCUAAUAGCUUGUAAAAGUAAUCAAUUUAUUACAUCAUCAUCAUCAAUCUGGUUUGUAAUAUUCAAGAAAAUUUGUACAUGACUAAUUAAAAAUGGUUACACGUUGUGAGUGGCAAUACCUUGUUAAUUUUAUAAGUUGAACCUCCACAUCAAAAACUCAAAAUAAUGCUAACCAAUAACUCGUAAACAAACUUAGCAACUCAAUCGAAUUAAUGUGCAAAAAGGAUCAGAAAAUGAAUGAAUAAAUUAAUCUUGUAAGUAUACAUUUACAUUGUACCCAACAUUAUAGCGUCAAAAAAGUAAAAUCUAACAUCUUAUUACAAUACUUUCUAUACCAAAGUCGAACAUGAUUUAGUGGUAGGAUCAAGUAAAGCCGGAACCAAAUAUUUUCUUCCAUUGACACCAUUUGCAUUGUAGCUAGCACCGGUCGUGGGGUCCACUAGCAAGUCCCCGGCGUAGCCCGGGUAGGCCCCUUUAGCAUAGACCCCAGGGCAGGCCGAAGCAGCCUCCAAUGGUGCAUCAGAUGGACCCUGGUAAUACCCAUUUCCGAAUGGGUUGGUGGCAGUCCCAGCUAAAAGGCUAGCCAAGUUGAUAACCAUGCCGUCCAAGCCCACAUCAUUGUUGGGUGCAACUAAUGGUGGGCUCUGUGGGCCGUAAAUGGGCUGGUGGAAUGGCCAGGCACAUUGACCCGGGCACUGGGUCUCCGAGUUACCAACCCAGAUGUAGGCAAACUUGCUGUGAUUCUUUCCUUUCAAGAGGGCAGUCUUGGAAGCUACAGAACCAUGGGUUCCGCAUCUACUGGAACAGAAACCUUCAACUGCGACGUCGGCUGAAGUCAAGACUACAUUAAUGGCGUUCGUUUGAUCACCCUUUGCUGCCAAUUGUUGUACUUGCUGCAUUGUGAGUGAUUUACCCAGUGAGCAUUUCUCGUCAGAGAUUUGAUUGCCUACGUCCAGUUGUAGGGAAGAUGAUUUCUUGGAUUUGAUCAGGUGAUAGUACUUCUCUAUAGCUCCCCACCAUGUAGAAACAGAAGGUUGCGCCUCAGAUUUUGAAGACGAUAACGAGGCAAUGAAAUCAGAUAUUAUGGCUUUCUGAGAUGGCUUGAAAUUUCCAUACCAGAUGAGAUUGACGGUGAUCUUGCCAGUAAGAAGUGGGCCCUUGUGGUAUUUGAAAAGCAUAGGAUCUUGAUUUUCCAAUAGUCUUGCUGCAGAAGCAAAACUGAUGAACAGAAAUGCAGAUAUCAAGAUCAUACUGAUUGAGAAACUAGCUGCCAUUUUGAAUUGGGAUAUGAUUUUGAACAGAGAAGUUGUAGAAAAUAUGUGGAAUUUCUUUGUUUUUUGUGAGGAUUUGAUGGUGGAAAUGGAGAGUUGAGACAAUUCUUUAUAUAGGGAGUAUGGACUCGGAUCAGAAUGGAGGAAGGCUCGACGAAGGAGACAAAAGAAUUUAGAAGACAGCAAUAAUCUUAAUGGAUGCGCGUUUUUACUUUUUCAAAUAAAGUUGGGAGUUGACCCCACGAAAACAAAUUAUGCGCCAGCAAGCACAGCAUACAUUGAGCCCUUUUACUUGGCAUCGCCCCCUGUUUGGACAGGGGAUUGUCCAAGAAGAAUAAGCCGCAUUGAUUUUAGGAAUGGCCAACCUCUAAAUAUUCCGAGACAUGCUAUAUGUAUACCGUGACACUCUGGUGUACAAAUAGAAAAAUCCAAAUAUAUCUGAUCUGCUUGCACUUCCAUAAAUGCAUAUAUUUGUUUGGGAAAUUUUAUGAUUUGGUCCCUAAAAGCCAUAUCCACAAUUCGCAAGAACUUAAAGAUCAAGAACUAGUUUCAAACAUCGAAUGAUGAGAAGAAAGUUCAAUUCUCAAUUUGGAGAGAGAGAAUUAUAAAAUCUUGAAAAACUAUAAUUCAUUUGAUUUAGUUAUGCUCCUCAUGAUAAUAAAAAAAAAAAAAAAAAUCUAGUAGAGCGUCUUUCCGACUCAUUGAAAUUGAGUAAAUUUAUUAUGAUCCUUCAAGUUCAUAACUUCCUCACAAUCAAAAGCAUUGUUGAUAUAUUCCCUUAUCAUCAAAAAAUUUAAUCAUACAUUCUCAUAUCAUUCUUGUUUUUCUCAAAACCAUUAUCAAUUAAUUGUAUAACUGGAUUUUUAUGCGCUUGUUCCGGCAAUGCAAUAAAACCUCCAUCCACAUAUUUUUCCAAUUCCCAAAUCUCUUUAUCGUUACGCUGAUUUUCUUUAUAAAACAAUUCGAUAUUGGUGUGAUUGCUUGCUACUCUUCGUUUUCUCAUUUGUAAUUUUGAAAUGGAACAGAUAAAUUCAAUUAGCAAUUUGUUUGUUUGAGAUUAGGUACAAGUUUGGUAAAAAAAUUGUGAAUUAUAAGUUGUAAGUCCUAUGAAAUGCGUAGAUAAAAAGUUAUAAAUACUACUAACUAUAUUAAUAAAAGUGAUAUAGAUAGAACAUUUGAAAAAGCUUAAACGGGCAUACUCUAAAAUGGUCCAAAAAAAAAAAAAAAAAUCUAGUAGAGCGUCUUUCCGACUCAUUGAAAUUGAGUAAAUUUAUUAUGAUCCUUCAAGUUCAUAACUUCCUCACAAUCAAAAGCAUUGUUGAUAUAUUCCCUUAUCAUCAAAAAAUUUAAUCAUACAUUCUCAUAUCAUUCUUGUUUUGCUCAAAUCAUUAUCAAUUAAUUGUAUAACUGGAUUUUCAUGUUCUUGUUCCGACAAUGCAAUAAAACCUCCAUCCACAUAUUUUUCCAAUUCCCCAAUCUCUUUAUCGUUAAAAUGAUUUUCUUUAUAAAAUAAUUCGGUAUUGGUGUGAUUGCUUGCUACUCUUCGUUUUCUCAUUUGUAAUUUUGAAAUGAAACAAAUAAAUUCAAUUAGCAAUUUAUUUGUUUGAGAAUUAUAAGUUAUAAAUCCUAGGAAAUAUGUAGAUAAAAAAUUAUGAAUACUACUAACUAUAUUAAUAAAAGUGAUAUCAAUUCAUACAUUUGAAAAAGCUUAAACGGGCAUACUCUAAAAUGGUCCAAAUACCUCCAAGACUCAUUUCAUCACAAAUAUUAAUAUAAUAUAUUUUGAAAAACCAACGUGCAUGCAUGCUUGCUCGCACACAGAACACAUUGGAAAUUACGGUAGCUUAAUACAUAUAAUUAACUUGUAUAUUCAAGCUGUCCCCUACGUCCUAUAGUCAAAGCAACAAACUUUAAUUAAUUAAUCACUUCGCUGGGACGCUGGAAGCAAAGGUGGAGAGUUCGAUUCCUGGAGUUAACACUGGGUGCUAAAAUGGAGGGGAAGCCAUUUGGUUGAACAAACGCCCAGCGAGGAGAGCUCUCUUUGCGGAAGGAGUCCAAAUGAGUUGUGGGAACCUGGGAGCCAACAAGGGCACAUCCUGCGAUUUACCUCCCUGAGCUGCUGAGGGGCCAGAGGUUCAGGGACAAGGAUCUAGUCGGACGCAAGCCCGGACACCUUGUAAAAAAAAAAAAAAAAAACAAACUUUAAUUAAUUAAAAUAUUAGUUGAUGGUUAGCCGAAACGAAUGAUUUUGUCUCUUUCCAUACCUUCCUCAAAUGCUGUUGGCCAAACAUAACUUUAUUUUGUUGUUAUUCUUCGAUUCAAGCUGUUUAUUAAUUUAAAAAACGCGUUAUCAAGCUGUAUUUUAAGUGAACUCUCUCUCACACACAAAUAUACACCUCAAGGUUGUAUUUGAGUUUUUUUCAUGUCUUGUGGGAAUUGGGGAUAAAGAGAUUAGGUUACGAUUUUUGGCAAAAAAUUUCAAAGUGAAAGACCAAAUUCAAAUUAUCAUUUUUGAAUUAAUGACAAAGGUAGGUGGGGCCAGGGGUAAUGUUUACAUUGUAUCAUGAGAUUGAAUUGAAAAUAGUAACGUCAAAAGUUAAAAUCACAUAUAGUCCUUGUUUGGUGAUGAUUAAAAUUAGAUUUUUAAUAGAUUUUGAUUUAAGUUGAUAAAAUGAGUUGUUGAAGAGUUUUGGGUCGAAGUUCAAAACACAUGUAACUUUCAUGUAACUAAGUACUUGUUGGGAGUGUUUACAUUUUACUUUAAGUAGAAUGUCCUAUAGAAUGUGUUGUUAGGUUGGAUGCCCCAAAUUAGGAAUGGGAUUCUCGAAGAUUACGUAAUUCGUUCUUGGAUAUGGGAAGAUAUCAAUUUGAACUUGGAAAGGAAUCAAUUGCAUAAAAAAUUAAGGAAAUAAAAUUUGGGUGCCGGAUCUUUUCCUUUUUACGUGUUUUUAAACCUAGUUUCCAUAUUUUGCCUAGUUUUAGGGUUUUGACUCGUGUACUAUAAAUAUGUGGCUCUUCUUUCAUUUUAGUUUAAGCCAAAUUGUUGUGUCGUUAUAUUCUCUCCACAUUGUCAAUUAAUAAUACAUCUUACCUCUACAUUUAACUCUCUUUUCUUCUUUACUUUAAACCUUGAUAUAUAUUAUUAUAUUGUUGCAAUCCAUAUUAACUUCAUAUCGCGGCAUUAAGUUCAUUCUUUACAACCCCUCGGUCUCAACAUGUGUGAAUGAAAAGGUAAUAAGUUGUGAGUUCAUAGAAUAUGGAUAAAAUGUCUAUUUGAUCAGUUCAGGACUUCAAGUUAUAAUUUAAACUUUGACCCAAAAAAAAUGUACUGAAGUUGAAGGAUAAAAUGUGUAUUUGAUCCAUGUGUUGCAAUAAUUGGGAUGCUUUAGGCGUUCAGACAUACUCUAAAGCCACUUAAACGGAUGCACUUAUGGCUGGUUUUGUAAGGUUUACUUUACUGUUUUUUACCAUACUAAAGAAGUAACAAGGCCAAAAUCUUAUAUAUGAUAGCGUGCAAUGCUGGGUCGGCUUAACUUGGAAACCAGUGACCGAGGUUUUUGCUUUGAUGUUAAAAUUGUCAAUGCAGACUUCAGGACGGAGAAGCCAAUGUCCUGUCACCUGUGCUUCUUUUAGCACGCUUGCAAGAUUGUUGUCUUUGUUUAAGAACACUUUAGAACGUUUGUAGAAAACUCUCCAAAUUUUUUACACACUUUUUACCCAUGCUCUUGAAACUUUUUACUGAAUUCAUUUAUGUAUCAAUCCCUCUAUUUCUCCCCAAAGAUGAUUCAAGUUUUCAAGAGAUUCCUUCAUCGAUAAGAUAACAUGUCGAGCAAUUCCACAUAUGUUGAUGAGCUUGAGAGAUCCAUCAAGGAACUCACUGGCAUGAUCGCUGAGGGCUUGCUGGACAGCUGGAGCUUCAUCAAAUUAUUGAUACCUUCAUGAAAAACUCUGAGGCUGGCCAACUAUGUGUGUGACUUUGGCAAAGAUUUUUUAAGCUUAUAAAUUGAUCAAACAUCAUUUUUUAUAUCACACAUUCUUCAGGGUCCCAACUUUUAUAUACUUUUUUGGCACACAUUCUUUAGAACUAACUACUUAUAACUACCUAAAAACUUAGACUAGCAAGCACUAAGCAACCAUACUUAGACUAGCAAGCACUAAGCAACCAUACGUUAUUCUUGAUUUUGUGUCCAUGGAGGACAGUCUAGGAUUUUGAAGGAACCCCGUUAGCUAAGCCUAGUGAUAUAGAGCUAACUUGUAUUGAACUUGUUGGGAAUUUACUUAACAUGCGCAGCGGAAAAUUAAAACAGAUUUCGGUUCCCAUCAAGAAUCGCCUUUAUAUUUAGAUAGAAAUUGUGAUAAGAUUGUACCUUUUUCAAAUUUGCAAACUUCUUUGCUAUUCUUUUCGUUCCAGCAAUCUUAAUUUGCCACCCACAACUGUCCAAUUGUCCAGCCUCCAACGGUGAUCCACACAGAGAACAAGAUUGCAGCUACCAGGGUUUUCUCCUCUUGUGCUAGCAAAAAUAAUUAUGAAAAAUCAUGUGGAUUGAAAACCCUAGUCAUGUAUUUAUACAAGUCCAAACGGGUCUGGCCUGGUCCGGUCUAAUAUUUAAUUAAUCCAUUUAAUUAAAUCCAGUCCGUGAAUUAAUUAAUCCAAUUAAUUAAUUCGGGACUAUAAAUAACCAAACCAAUUAAUUAAUUUAUCCAGCGAUUAUUAAAUUAAUUAAUUGACAAAUUGCAAUCUUCCAAUUCUCUUUUGUGUGCGACCCAUCAGGUUCCCGAUCACGAUACCUAACGACGUGAAAUAUUUUUUGAUCUAAUCAAAAUUGAUAAAUUAAAACACCAUUUUAAUUUAUCAUCAAUUCACUCUCGCCAUCUCAAAUUGACAUUUAGCAAUGUGUCAGGGCAAUACAUGUGAUGGAAAAUGUCAUGUGGUAUAACAAAACCAAACUCAUUCGUUUACCGUGAAAUUAUAAUCUCUUCGUCAAUAUGAUUCGAUCAAUUAUGAGAUAUGAAAGUGUGUCAAUCUCGAUUAUCGAUCAUAACUUUGACUCCACUAACAAGUCAAUAUAAGUUGAAAACUCAUUUUCGACUUAUGAGUACACCUUGGCCAAGGAUUUCGUUAUUGACUUAAUUGAAUGAAACGCAGAUCAUAAUAUCUUACUAUCUAAGAGUGACGAAUCCUCUAUUUGUUAAUCACAACAUUCAUAUGAUUAUUGACAUACUUGAACGAUGCCGUAUUAGCAGCCCUUGGCAGAGCAACAUCCAACACCGUCAAAGCAUGACCGUCCUCAUAUAAGGUACUAUGACGACCUCAAGUCAAAAGGACCACUCCCACUAUCGAACGUUAGAGAUUAACCACUAACAUUCAGAUAGUUAUCCAUGUGGAAUCUCUCAGCAAGUCUCCAAUGUUUUGUUCUAUAACAAAACAUCCACGUAUUCAUUUAAGUGUCACCACACUUUAACUUGUGAGAUAAGCUACUUACUUCAUAAGUAAGAAAUGACACACGUGAUGAGCUAUCCGUAAUAACGAUAUCCAUAUCUCGUUAUUACUUACGACCACGGACGAUUUAAAAUUCAAUCAGAUGUAAUUUGUAUCUCACAAUCACAACUCCUUGUGAUUAACAAAUUAUGAAGAUUUGAAUCUACGGACUCUAUUAUUUAUUUAAUUGUCUAUUAAUUGAAUAAUAGAUCUGUCAUUAAAUUGCAUUAAUUAUAUAUCAAAAGUAUUUAUGUCCAGAGUUGAUUGGACUUAGGGCAUAAUAUUUACAAACUCCCACUUGCACUAGAUCCAAUCACUUAUGUAUCCAAUAUCAUAAGUCUACAUGACGAUCAUGUUUAUGCUACGACAACUCUUUGUCAGUGGAUCUACAAUAUUGUUAAAUGUGAGAAUUUGUUCUUCUCUUAUGUCAUUUCUAUGUAUUAUCUCUCUAAUUAUAUUAUACCGCCUUAAUACAUAUUUGGAUUAUUGAUAAGACAUUAGUUCAUUCGCUUUCACAAUGGCUCUAUUGUCAUCACAAUACAAUGACAUGUGAUCAACAAUAUCAGGAACUACUCCAAGUUCAUUUAUGAACAUCAUGAUCCAGAUUGCAACUCUUUGCUACUUCUGAAGUAAUCAUGUAUUAGGUUUCUACUAUUGAAUCAACGGUUGCUUCAUGUUUGGAACCUUUCCAACAUACCGCUUAAGAGUAAACCAGUUUCUCCAUAUGAAAUUUUCUCAAGAUUUCAUCUAUGUAAAUUGGGAUGAGUUAAGCAAUCUUCUAGAUCAAGUUGCUUCUCCCAUAUCCUUCAUGAAUAAAUCCUUUAACAACCAUUAUUUCAAAGAUUGAAACAUAGGGAUAUCGUUUUCUAUAAUAUUAGGAAUACGACAAUACUCCUACUACCUUCUUGUAAACACACAAUUCGUCUUCAAAUUUGAUAAAAUCAAAUACUUUGACUUUUCCAUCAAAUCUAAGAUUUCAGCUCCAAGAGACUUCUCUUAACCUAUAGUCACGGUAUGCAACUGUUGCAAGCAAAACCCGAAUGGACUUAAGCAAGGCUACAGGAGAAAGGUUUCACUAAGGUUAACACUUAACCUUUGCUUCUAGCCUUACUUUGUAUAUAUGGAUAUUCACAUCCAUAUCGACCUUUUCCUUGUAAACUAUUUACAAAAAUUUAUGGGUUUUAUUCCAUCAAGAGGCUUGAUCAAGGUCCAAACCUUGUUCACAUACGUCAAGUUCAUCUCGAGUUUCAUGGUCUCUUGCUGUCUCUUUUAAGUCAACACUUGACUUUAUUUUGGUACAACUAGCAGGUUCAUUAUCCUGGAUCAGUAAUACCUGAUUAGUAAUUAUGGAUUCGCACCUUCUUGAAGGUCGAAUGAUCAUACUAGAUUCACAUAGAGUUGAUAUGUCCUCAGGAGUCUUUACUUCCUGAUUGGUUAACUAUAUUUGUGGACUCUUGAACUCUUUCAAGUUCUAUUUUAGUGUGUUGCACAGUGCAAUCAUUGCAUGACCUCAAAACGAUUUUUUUUUUUGGAGAUUUGCAUGACUUGUUAUUAAUCGCACUAUAUCUAAUAGUUAAUUAUUCCUCCUUUUAGAUACACCACUAUGCUGCAGUGUAUGUGUAGGAGUCCACUGCAAGAGAAUUUCAUUCUCUCUAAGAUAAUCUAGAUUUUAUCUUUAAGAUACUCUCACUUGAUCGAAUCUUAAUGUGAGGGUAUCUUUACCUAUUUGUUUCUCCAAUUUUUAGUUUUAAACCCUUGAACUUUUCAAGAGUUUUAUAUUUGAGUUUCAUCAAGUAUACAUUAUCAUUGAUGAAAUAAGAGAAACAUUACCUGAAAUCAAUUGACAUGAAUCCAUAUGUAUCACUAUGCAUUAUACCAGUAAUUAUGUUGACUUUUCUUCUUUUAAAGUAAAAGAAGAUUUGGUCAUUUUGCCAGACAUACAUAAUUUGUGUUUGUCAUAAUCAAUUAAUCCCAAGUAUACAUCUUUAUGUAACUUUUGGAAUUGCAUUUCAUCUAUAUGACAAAAUCUGCCAUGCCAUGUUUCAGUAAUAAUUAGAUUAUCGCAUUUAUGCCUUAUAAUUUCUACACUCAUUAUAGAAUUCUUAGUAUUAGAGAAUAUAAACGUCGUUUUUGUAAUUUACCAUAGCCAUUAGGAUCUUUAUCAAAAUCAACAAGAACAACAAUUGUCCUUAAAAUUAAAAUAGUUCAUGUCCGAACAUGAAAUUCAUUUUAAUGUUCCAGCUAAGGCAGGUAUAAAGCGACAUUUUUCUAAUUCCAAUACUAAACCAAAAGGUAAUGGCAAGAAGUAUAUUCCUACAGGCAAUGCAACAACAUUUGUUCAUCGCCAACGUGUAGAUUAACUUCUCCCUUUUGCAGUGGUCUACUUCUAUUUAGUUUCUCCAUAUUUGUAUAAAUAUGAGAUUUACAUCUGAUAUCAAAUACCUAAGAAACUCGUGAAGUAGACGUAAGACACGUAAUAUUCCUUUCAAUGACCUUUUCAUUUUAUAAUGAAACCAAGUGUCAUUAGAUUUGGUAUUGUCCUUCGCUUAGACUAUCUUAACCAUAUUGGGUGCUUUCCAAAAGUCCUUUCGGACUUCCUCUUAAUACCCUUAGAUGAAUCAAUGUUUUGCCCACUACCAAUUUUGAUAAAGGGCUUAACAGUCCUAAGCAUGUUAGCAACUUAAUGAGUAUGCAUUUGAGUUUAUUCAUAUCAUAAUUCAUAAUUAGUACGAAUAACUCUAUGAUAAGGAUUGCAGAGCUAAGUCAAUACUUAGUUCAUAGUUAAUGAUUGAACUCAAUUGAGACACUUCUCAUGUCAAUCAUCUUCAGUACAUGAGGAUUGACUGAAGAUUCUUUUGUCACUUUGCAUCGAUAUAGUUGUUUGAAAGUCUCAUAUCCUUCCACACAUAAUUAUUAUCAUACAACUCUUUGUAAUGAAGAAUUAUGUGUUAACAUCUAUACUCUCAAAUUGCUUUUAUAACUCAGGUGACAUAGUUGCAGGUAUCACAUACGUUGCAGUACUAUUGUCAUCACUGCAUUUAUUAUAGCAGCCACCUCUUCCUUAAUCGAGUCAUCACCAGGUGUCUCUGAAAAAUGGUUACUUAAGGACAACCAAUUUUCUCAUGUUUGAGAACAAUUCUCAAAUUGCAGUGCCAAUCAAAAGAUUUAAAUUGGUUGUUGGCAUCCAAUAUGCUUCUCAAAUACACAUGGUUACUCACGAUUCAAUAAAUAUAAAUGACGAAAAGAAAAAGAAUAAUAUAUAAAAUGCAUCAAUGAAUUUAACAUGGAUUUUUAUUAAAUUAAUUAUGCUCCCACUGUUUAACUAAAAUUUAUGACCUUCUUACAUAAAUUUAUGGAGUCCAUACUUGACUCCCAGUGUGUUGGGAUCCCAUCUAUUAUAUUAAAACCUUGAGUGUACUCAACAAGCCUUAAUAUAAUAUUUGGAUAGAUACUAUUAUCAAUUGUAUCUCCAUACAAUUCUCAGAUCAUUAAGCAGACAACUCUUUGUUUUCACAUCUUAUGUGUUAGUUUAACAUGCCUCUAAAAUUUAUCUUCUUGAGUGUACUCAACAAAAGAUAGAUUUUAGUUAAGUCAAACCCGUCAUUCAGAAAUAUCAAAUAUUUCAUAGUGUCAAACAUAUCCCCAAUAGACCAGUCUUGAGUGUACUCAACAAGUUGAGACGAUUUGGGACUCUGAUUUUUCACUAUAAUGAUGGAAGGCGAUUAUAAAUGUGACUUAAUAUUUUAUAGAGGGAUUUUGCAUUCAAAUGUCUCAUCGUAACAAUAAUAUAUAUUUUAUUAUACAUCUACCAUGCAACUAAAUAUAUAUAACAUAAUAUAAUAGUGUGGACGAUUAUUGACUUUAUUAUCUAGUCUUCCCGAGCCGUAAGGAAGACUAGUUGGUCAAUUUCUAGGGGGUAUUACAUUGAUCAGUAUCAAUGCACCAUCUCCAUGGUCUUCUCUUCUUCUUAUUUCUUCAAUUAAUCUAGUUGCAACAUGUAUUCUAUACUAGUUGGCACGUAGGCCUAAAUGAAAUUGGACUCGCAGGCCCAUAGCAACAUAACAAUAACGGACUCGCAGGUCCAAAAUAAUUAAGAGCUCGCAGGCUCAUAAUAAUAACAACAAUAACGGGCUCGCAGACUCAUAAAACGACAAGAAUAAAAUCAAUAAGUAACACAUCCAUAUGGUCGAGUCCAUAAUCAUCUACUAAUAAUGCAUUUAUCACAUAAAUGUAUUCUUAUAUAAUAUCUAAUAUUAUAUGCAAACACAUUUCAAGCUUCUAGCAAUUAAGGUCGUCUAAACUCUUUUAAACAAAUGCAUCAGAACAAUUAAAUAAUUAAUCAAUCAUAUUAAUCAAUUAAUUUAAUUAGCGGGCAUAUUUAAUUAAAAUCAAAUGUUAAUUAAAUAUCGAAUUGGAGUCGAACUCAAAUUCCACAAUUAUAAGGCGGGAUUAUUUAAUAAAAAUCAAAUUUCAAUUAAAUAUCAAAUUAGAGUCAAACUCUAAUUUCAAAACUUAAGGCGAUUGAAUUUAAUUAAAAUCAAAUUUUAAUUAAAUAACAAAAUUAGAGUCCAACUCUAAUUCCAAGAUCUUAGGGCGAACAUGUUUAAUUAAAAUCAAAUUUUAAUUAAACACAAAUUAGAGUCUAACUCUAAUCUUAAAUAAAAUUUUAGGGCAACACAAUUUAAUUAAAAUCAAAUUUUAAUUAAAUGUCAGAUUAGAAUCCAAUUCUAAUUUCAAAAAUAUAAUGGGGUGAAUAAUUAAUUAAAAUCAAAUUUUAAUUAAGUAUUAAAGUCAAACUCUAAUUUAAAUUGAAUUAAUAUUUUAAUCUAAGGAUAACACUCUUAAAUAAAAUAAAAAUUCAAUUGGGUCAAAGUUUAAUAUUUAAGUUAAAAUAAUAUUUUAACGAAAAUAUAAAAAAUUGUCAUUUUUGAAUAAAAUUUUACUUUGGCUCAAAAUUAAAAUUAUGGGUCGAACCCAAUUAAAAAUAAUUUUAAAACCAUUUCAAAAUUCAAAUUCAAAACCAUUUUGAAAACUUUGAAAUUUGACCCAUUUACAAAUUAUCAAUAAGGCCCUCGAGAUUUGAAAUUUUGCAUAACAGCCCUUUAUUCAAAUUUUGCACAAUAACCCCUUAUCCUGUAAUUGCAGAACAGGUCCCUAUUAUUUCUAUAAUUGUACUGAAGUCCUUCAUUUUAAAAUUACAAUCAGACCCUUAUAUCGUAUUGCAGCAAGGGACGUGCAAUUUCCCAAAUUGCAGCUAAACCCCCCGCCUCCAUUCACCCAAAACGCGAUUAUGAAACCCUAGGAAAUUCACCACGCUGGCAAUAAUUUUAGGGCGGCGAUCGCCUGUAAUUAUUUUAGGGGUGGCGACGCCGCCCCUGGGCUCAUGCGGCGGAGGCCGCCUCUCGCAGCAGCAGCGAUGGUGCUCAUCGCUGCCCAUAGCGGCGAGCAUCGCUGUCACAGCGGGCGGCAGCAGCUCGACCGGCGGCAACAAUUGUCGUCGGCUCCUCCGCCAUUCCUUUUUUUUAUAUUAACUUUAUUAAUUUUCCAAUCCAAAAUAAUUUCUAUUCAAAAUCUCAUUUUGAAUAUGAAAAAUUAUUUAUUACCUUAAUCACUAAAACAAGGAAAAACAAUUAACAUUUAAUUGUUCCAACAUGCAAAACAAUUUCUAACAAACACAAAGUAGGCUCUGAUACCACUGUUGGAAAUCUACUUAACAUGCACAGCGAAAAAUUUAAACAGAUUUCGAUUCCCACCAAAAAUCGCUUUUGUGUUUAGAUAGAUAUUGUGAUAAGAUUGUACCUCUUCCAGAUUUGCAAACUUCUUUACUAUUCUUUUCGUUCCAACAAUCUUGAUUCGCCACCCACAGUUGUUCAAUUGUCCAGCCUCCAACGGUGAUCCACACAGAGAACAAGAUUACAGCUACCAGAGUUUUCUUCUCUUGUGCUAGCAAGAAUAAUUAUGAAAAACCACGUGGAUUGAAAACCCUAGCCAUGUAUUUAUACAAGCCCAAACGGGCCUGGUCUGGUCCGAUCCAAUAUUUAAUUAAUCCAUUUAAUUAAAUUCGAUCCGUGAAUUAAUUAAUCCAAUUAAUUAAUUCGGUCCUAUAAAGCCAAUUAAUUAAUUUAUCCAACGAUUGUUAAAUUAAUUAAUUGACAAAUUGCAAUCUUCCAAUUCUCUUUUGUGUGCGACCCAUCAGGUUCCCGAUCACGAUGCUUAACGACGUGAAAUAUUAUUUUGAUCUAAUCAAAAUUGAUAAAUUAAAACACCAAUUUAAUUUAUCAUCAAUUCACACUCGCGGUCCCAGAUUGACAUCUAGUAAUGUGUCAGGGCAAUACAUGUGAUGGGAAAUGUUAUGUGGUAUGACAAAACAAAAUUCAUUCGUUUACCGUGAAAUUAUAAUCUCUUCGUCAAUAUGAUCCGAUCAAUUACGAGAUAUGGAAGUGUAUCAAUCUCGAUUAUCGAUCAUAUCUUUCACUCCACUAUUAAGUCAAUGUAAGUCAAAAACUCCUUUUCGACUUGGCCAAGGAUUUCGUUAUUGACUUAAUUGAAUGAAACGUAGAUCAUAAUCUCUUACUAACUAAGAGUGAUGAAUCCUCUAUUAGUCAUUCACAACCUUCAUAUGAUUAUUGACAUACCCAAACGAUGCCGUAUUAGCAGCCCUUGGCAGAGCAACAUCCAACAUCGUCAAAGCAUGACCGUCCUCAUAUAAGGUACUAUGACGACCUCAAGUCAAAAGGACCAAUCCCACUAUCGAACGUUAGAGAUUAACCACUGACACUUAGAUAGUUAUCCAUAUGGAAUCUCUCGGCAGGUCUCCAAUAUUUUGUUCUAUAACAAAAUAUCCACAUGUUCAUUUAAGUGUCAUCACAUUUUAGUUUGUGAGAUCAGCUACUUACUUCAUAAGUAAGAAAUGCUACACGUGAUGGUCUAUCCGUAUCUCGUUAUUACUUACGACCACGGACGAUAUAAGAUUCAAUCAGAUAUAAUUUGUAUCUCACAAUCACAACUCCUUGUGAUUGACAAAUUAAGAAUAUUUAAAUCUACGAACUAUAUUAUUUAUUUAAUUGUUUAUUAAUUAAAUAUUAGAUCUGUCAUUAAAUUGCAUUAAUUAUAUAUCAAAAAUAUUUAUGUCCAAAGUUGAUUGGACUUAAAACAUAAUACUUACAGAACUACCAGGGAAGACUGCCCGUGUGGAGCCUAACAAUCUUGGAUUCCCCGCAAUGGGCUUGAUCAGGUCGGAUCACCUCUAGUGAUCAGUUAGAAACUUGAAAAUAAUCUUAUACUGGCACAAAAGAUAUUGGCAUCUUUGGUAUAUAUUAAAUUAAAUAAAUUAGACAUAAUAACAGAAAGAGUACAAAACAUAUGAAAUGUUUGUCCGGUAUCUCAUCUAAAGAAAGGUUUUAACACAUCCUUUUUGACUAAUGGAAAAGUUGGUGUAUAUAGCACCACUAUAAGUAGCCAUUUUGUAUGAGUAAUUAGUAUUUGAGCUUGAAAGUGACGUUGUUUAGGUAUCAAAAUGUCUUUCUAGUGAUGUUUAGUGUUAACUGCACUCGAGUUAUUCUUAUAUUUGCACUUCUCAUAAAUUUGGAAAAUUAAAAUAAAUUCUUUCAAACUUUUGACCUUCUUGCUUUCUGGUCUCAAACGUUUAAAUUAAGACUAACAUCGAUAACUUACGCAUUUUUUGCACAGUUGAUCCUUUUGAAUAAAUUCAGUACAAAAUUAUUGUUAAUUUGCAAGUGACCCACACUUUCUUUAAGGGAUAAAUAGUAUAGGUAAUCCCAAAGUUUGAUAAAAUUAGCGAUCUUGUCCCCAACCUUCAAGAGAUUAAAAGUAAAUACAUCUUAUAAUAUGUUUCUAAAAAUACAAAUUUAUCUUUUGUUUUUAAAUAAAAUGAAACAAAUAAAAUAAAUAAAAUAAUUUCCUUCCCAAUAAGUUUAUCAAAAGCAACCAUCAUGCCGUUGUUGCCACCACCACAAUCAAGCACAAAAUGACCGAAAUGAAUUAGAGCUUUUCUCAAUCUCCAAAAAUGAUAAAAAUGAGUUGGGGUGGUGGGGCUGCAACCAGGAGGAAAUGGGUGAAGACGGUGAUUAGUGUUUUAUUUUUUUAAAUAUUUGUUUUGUUGGAGGUGCACCAUUAGCCUGAUUUACUUUUAAGGCUUGUGAUCGGUUUCCUUUAUUAAAAUGGCAUGUUCAAGUCUCAGACUGAUCCAAUAGUAAGUUGACAAAUAAUGUUAGGAGGGAUUGACUUUUCCAUUUACCAAAGAUUAGGAACAAACAUAAGACAAGACAUUUGUAAGGACAUGAACUCUACUUUUGUCAAAAUUGGGACUACAUAUGCAAUUUAUCCUAAUUUCAGUCCACGAAUAAAACUAACAGUCAUUUCGGACGAAAUCCAUCAAAAAGGUCCAUCUGUGCCAAAAAUGAAUAGUUUGGGACAUUAUUGUCAUGAUUUAAAAGUUCAGAAGCAAAAAAUGCAAGAUGGGUAAAGAUUUGGGCGCAUUUAUAUCAAUUUCCCUAUAAUAUUUUCUAUUUCAUAAUUUUUCCCUUAUGAAAAAGAAAAAGUUAGAUUCGUAUUAUAAUAAUCUUUAACCAACAAAGGUCUAGGUGAUUAAAGUUUAGAUAUGAAGUUAAAAAAAUAAAAAUUGUCAUCUAACUUGUAGAAAAAUUCAUCACUUGUCUUUAUUUUGUUCUAAUAGAUUGUAAAAGUUAUCAAUUUAUUACAUCAUCAUCAUCAAUCUGAUUUGUAAUAUUCAAGAAAAUUCGUACAUGACUAAUUAAAAAUGGUUACACGUUGUGAGUGGCAAUACCUUGUUAAUUUUAAAAGUUGAAUCUCCACAUCAAAAACUAGAAAUAAUGCUAACCAAUAACUCGUAAACAAACUUAGCAACUCAAUCAAAUUAAUGUGCAAAAAGUAUCAGAAAAUGAAUGAAUAAAUUAAUCUUGUAAGUAUACGUUUACAUGGUACCCAACAUUAUACCGUCAAAAAAGUAAAAUCUAACAUCUCAUUACAAUACUUUCUAUAUCAAAGUCGAACAUGAUUUAGUGGUAGGAUCAAAUAAAGCCGGAACCAAAUAUUUUCUUCCAUUGACACCAUUUGCAUUGUAGCUAGCACCGGUCGUGGGGUCCACUAGCAAGUCCCCGGCGUAGCCCGGGUAGGCCCCUUUAGCAUAGACCCCAGGGCAGGCCGAGGCAGCCUCCAAUGGUGCAUCAGAUGGGCCCUGGUAGUACCCAUUUCCGAAUGGGUUGGUGGCAGUCCCAGCUAAAAGGCUAGCCAAGUUGAUAACCAUGCCGUCCAAGCCCACAUCAUUGUUGGGUGCAACUAAUGGUGGGCUCUGUGGGCCGUAAAUGGGCUGGUGGAAUGGCCAGGCACAUUGACCCGGGCACUGGGUCUCCGAGUUACCAACCCAGAUGUAGGCAAACUUGCUGUGAUUUUUUCCUUUUCACGAGGGCAGUCUUGGAAGCUACAGAACCAUGGGUUCCGCAUCUACUGGAACAGAAACCUUCAACUGCGACGUCGGCUGAAGUCAAGACUACAUUAAUGGCGUUCGUUUGAUCACCCUUUGCUGCCAAUUGUUGUACUUGCUGCAUUGUGAGUGAUUUACCCAGUGAGCAUUUCUCGUCAGAGAUUUGAUUGCCUAAGUCCAGUUGUAGGGAAGACGAUUUCUUGGAUUUGAUCAAGUGAUAGUACUUCUCUGUAGCUCCCCACCAUUUAGAAACAGAAGGUUGAGCCUCAGAUUUUGAAGACGAUAACGAGGCAAUGAAAUCAGAUAUUAUGGCUUUCUGAGAUGGCUUGAAAUUUCCAUACCAGAUGAGAUUGACGGUGAUCUUGCCAGUAAGAAGUGGGCCCUUGUGGUAUUUGAAAAGCAUAGGAUCUUGAUUUUCCAAUAUUCUUGCUGCAGAAGCAAAACCGAUCACCAAAAAUAUAGAUAUCAAGAUCGUAUUGAUGGAGUAACUGGCUGCCA